GUGAAGGUGGCUCAGUGGUAGAGUGCUUGCCUCCCAUGCAUGAGGCCCUGGUUCGAUUCUUGAGUACCACA
rfam:Dipodomys ordii contig_2778, whole genome shotgun sequence.